rnacentral:rRNA from 1 species
GAUGAACGCUGGCGGCGUGCCUAAUACAUGCAAGUCGAGCGAGUGGAUUAAGAGCUUGCUCUUAUGAAGUUAGCGGCGGACGGGUGAGUAACACGUGGGUAACCUGCCCAUAAGACUGGGAUAACUCCGGGAAACCGGGGCUAAUACCGGAUAACAUUUUGAACCGCAUGGUUCGAAAUUGAAAGGCGGCUUCGGCUGUCACUUAUGGAUGGACCCGCGUUGCAUUAGCUAGUUGGUGAGGUAACGGGUCACCAAGGCAACGAUGCGUAGCCGACCUGAGAGGAGGAUCGGCCACACUGGGACUGAGACACGGCCCAGACUCCGACGGGAGGCAGCAGUAUGGAAUCUUCCGCAAUGGACGAAAGUCUGACGGAGCAACGCCGCGUGAGUGAUGAAGGCUUUCGGGUCGUAAAACUCUGUUGUUAGGGAAGAACAAGUGCUAGUUGAAUAAGCUGGCACCUUGACGGUACCUAACCAGAAAGCCACGGCUAACUACGUGCCAGCAGCCGCGGUAA